AUUCUAACUAGCAAUAUGCCAAAGACAGUAACUGCUAUAAUAAUGGCUUAAUUUGUUACCGAGGUUUAUUAUCUAAAAUGAAUGUUAUUUUAAUUAACAUU
rfam:Treaplasma diversum strain ATCC 49782 genome.